rnacentral:rRNA from 1 species
GAUGAACGCUAGCGGGAGGCCUAACACAUGCAAGCCGAGGGGUACGAUUCUUUCGGGAAUCUGGGACCGGCGCACGGGUGCGUAACGCGUAUGCAACUUGCCCUACUGAAAAGGAUAGCCCUUCGAAAGGAGGAUUAAUACUUUAUAACAGAUUGAAUGGCAUCAUUUAAUUUUGAAAGAUUUAUCGCAGUAGGAUAGGCAUGCGUAAGAUUAGUUAGUUGGCGAGGUAACGGCUCACCAAGACGAUGAUCUUUAGGGGGCCUGAGAGGGUGAACCCCCACACUGGUACUGAGACACGGAACAGACUCCUACGGGAGGCAGCAGUGAGGAAUAUUGGACAAUGGGUGGAAGCCUGAUCCAGCCAUCCCGCGUGUAGGAUGACGGCCUUAUGGGUUGUAAACUACUUUUAUCUGGGGAUAAACCUACUCACGUGUGAGUAGCUGAAGGUACCAGAAGGAUAAGCACCGGCUAACUCCGUGCCAGCCGCCGCAGUAAUAC